GAUGAACGCUGGCGGCGUGCCUAAUACAUGCAAGUCGAGCGAACGGACGAGAAGCUUGCUUCUCUGAUGUUAGCGGCGGACGGGUGAGUAACACGUGGAUAACCUACCUAUAAGACUGGGAUAACUUCGGGAAACCGGAGCUAAUACCGGAUAAUAUUUUGAACCGCAUGGUUCAAAAGUGAAAGACGGUCUUGCUGUCACUUAUAGAUGGAUCCGCGCUGCAUUAGCUAGUUGGUAAGGUAACGGCUUACCAAGGCAACGAUGCAUAGCCGACCUGAGAGGAUGAUCGGCCACACUGGAACUGAGACACGGUCCAGACUCCUACGGGAGGCAGCAGUGGGGAAUCUUCCGCAAUGGGCGAAAGCCUGACGGAGCAACGCCGCGUGAGUGAUGAAGGUCUUCGGAUCGUAAAACUCUGUUAUUAGGGAAGAACAUAUGUGUAAGUAACUGUGCACAUCUUGACGGUACCUAAUCAGAAAGCAACGGCUAACUACGUG
rnacentral:rRNA from 1 species